UUAAGCGACUAAGCGUACACGGUGGAUGCCCUGGCAGUCAGAGGCGAUGAAGGACGUGCUAAUCUGCGAUAAGCGUCGGUGAGGUGAUAUGAACCGUUAUAACCGGCGAUUUCCGAAUGGGGAAACCCAGUGUGUUUCGACACACUAUCAUUAACUGAAUCCAUAGGUUAAUGAGGCGAACCGGGGGAACUGAAACAUCUAAGUACCCCGAGGAAAAGAAAUCAACCGAGAUUCCCCCAGUAGCGGCGAGCGAACGGGGAGGAGCCCAGAGCCUGAAUCAGUGUGUGUGUUAGUGGAAGCGUCUGGAAAGGCGCGCGAUACAGGGUGACAGCCCCGUACACAAAAAUGCACAUACUGUGAGCUCGAUGAGUAGGGCGGGACACGUGGUAUCCUGUCUGAAUAUGGGGGGACCAUCCUCCAAGGCUAAAUACUCCUGACUGACCGAUAGUGAACCAGUACCGUGAGGGAAAGGCGAAAAGAACCCCGGCGAGGGGAGUGAAAAAGAACCUGAAACCGUGUACGUACAAGCAGUGGGAGCCUCUUAAUGGGGUGACUGCGUACCUUUUGUAUAAUGGGUCAGCGACUUAUAUUCUGUAGCAAGGUUAACCGAAUAGGGGAGCCGAAGGGAAACCGAGUCUUAACUGGGCGUUAAGUUGCAGGGUAUAGACCCGAAACCCGGUGAUCUAGCCAUGGGCAGGUUGAAGGUUGGGUAACACUAACUGGAGGACCGAACCGACUAAUGUUGAAAAAUUAGCGGAUGACUUGUGGCUGGGGGUGAAAGGCCAAUCAAACCGGGAGAUAGCUGGUUCUCCCCGAAAGCUAUUUAGGUAGCGCCUCGUGAAUUCAUCUCCGGGGGUAGAGCACUGUUUCGGCAAGGGGGUCAUCCCGACUUACCAACCCGAUGCAAACUGCGAAUACCGGAGAAUGUUAUCACGGGAGACACACGGCGGGUGCUAACGUCCGUCGUGAAGAGGGAAACAACCCAGACCGCCAGCUAAGGUCCCAAAGUCAUGGUUAAGUGGGAAACGAUGUGGGAAGGCCCAGACAGCCAGGAUGUUGGCUUAGAAGCAGCCAUCAUUUAAAGAAAGCGUAAUAGCUCACUGGUCGAGUCGGCCUGCGCGGAAGAUGUAACGGGGCUAAACCAUGCACCGAAGCUGCGGCAGCGACACUAUGUGUUGUUGGGUAGGGGAGCGUUCUGUAAGCCUGUGAAGGUGGCCUGUGAGGGUUGCUGGAGGUAUCAGAAGUGCGAAUGCUGACAUAAGUAACGAUAAAGCGGGUGAAAAGCCCGCUCGCCGGAAGACCAAGGGUUCCUGUCCAACGUUAAUCGGGGCAGGGUGAGUCGACCCCUAAGGCGAGGCCGAAAGGCGUAGUCGAUGGGAAACAGGUUAAUAUUCCUGUACUUGGUGUUACUGCGAAGGGGGGACGGAGAAGGCUAUGUUGGCCGGGCGACGGUUGUCCCGGUUUAAGCGUGUAGGCUGGUUUUCCAGGCAAAUCCGGAAAACCAAGGCUGAGGCGUGAUGACGAGGCACUACGGUGCUGAAGCGACAAAUGCCCUGCUUCCAGGAAAAGCCUCUAAGCAUCAGGUAACAUCAAAUCGUACCCCAAACCGACACAGGUGGUCAGGUAGAGAAUACCAAGGCGCUUGAGAGAACUCGGGUGAAGGAACUAGGCAAAAUGGUGCCGUAACUUCGGGAGAAGGCACGCUGAUAUGUAGGUGAAGCGACUUGCUCGUGGAGCUGAAAUCAGUCGAAGAUACCAGCUGGCUGCAACUGUUUAUUAAAAACACAGCACUGUGCAAACACGAAAGUGGACGUAUACGGUGUGACGCCUGCCCGGUGCCGGAAGGUUAAUUGAUGGGGUUAGCGGUAACGCGAAGCUCUUGAUCGAAGCCCCGGUAAACGGCGGCCGUAACUAUAACGGUCCUAAGGUAGCGAAAUUCCUUGUCGGGUAAGUUCCGACCUGCACGAAUGGCGUAAUGAUGGCCAGGCUGUCUCCACCCGAGACUCAGUGAAAUUGAACUCGCUGUGAAGAUGCAGUGUACCCGCGGCAAGACGGAAAGACCCCGUGAACCUUUACUAUAGCUUGACACUGAACAUUGAGCCUUGAUGUGUAGGAUAGGUGGGAGGCUUUGAAGUGUGGACGCCAGUCUGCAUGGAGCCGACCUUGAAAUACCACCCUUUAAUGUUUGAUGUUCUAACGUUGGCCCGUAAUCCGGGUUGCGGACAGUGUCUGGUGGGUAGUUUGACUGGGGCGGUCUCCUCCUAAAGAGUAACGGAGGAGCACGAAGGUUGGCUAAUCCUGGUCGGACAUCAGGAGGUUAGUGCAAUGGCAUAAGCCAGCUUGACUGCGAGCGUGACGGCGCGAGCAGGUGCGAAAGCAGGUCAUAGUGAUCCGGUGGUUCUGAAUGGAAGGGCCAUCGCUCAACGGAUAAAAGGUACUCCGGGGAUAACAGGCUGAUACCGCCCAAGAGUUCAUAUCGACGGCGGUGUUUGGCACCUCGAUGUCGGCUCAUCACAUCCUGGGGCUGAAGUAGGUCCCAAGGGUAUGGCUGUUCGCCAUUUAAAGUGGUACGCGAGCUGGGUUUAGAACGUCGUGAGACAGUUCGGUCCCUAUCUGCCGUGGGCGCUGGAGAACUGAGGGGGGCUGCUCCUAGUACGAGAGGACCGGAGUGGACGCAUCACUGGUGUUCGGGUUGUCAUGCCAAUGGCACUGCCCGGUAGCUAAAUGCGGAAGAGAUAAGUGCUGAAAGCAUCUAAGCACGAAACUUGCCCCGAGAUGAGUUCUCCCUGAGACUUAGAGUCUCCUGAAGGAACGUUGAAGACGACGACGUUGAUAGGCCGGGUGUGUAAGCGCAGCGAUGCGUUGAGCUAACCGGUACUAAUGAACCGUGAGGCUUAACCUU
rnacentral:rRNA from 5 species